rnacentral:rRNA from 1 species
GAUGAACGCUGGCGGCGUGCCUAAUACAUGCAAGUCGAGCGAAUGGAUUAAGAGCUUGCUCUUAUGAAGUUAGCGGCGGACGGGUGAGUAACACGUGAGUAACCUGCCCAUAAGACUGGGAUAACUCCGGGAAACCGGGGCUAAUACCGGAUAACAUUUUGAACCGCAUGGUUCGAAAUUGAAAGGCGGCUUCGGCUGCCACUUACUGAUGGACCCGCUUCGCAUUGGCUAGUUGGUGAGGUAACGGCUCACCAAGGCAACGAUGCGUAGCCGACCUGAGGGGGUGAUCGGCAACACGGGGACUGGGACACGGCCCAGACUCCUACGGGAGGCAGCAGUAGGGAAUCUUCCGCAAUGGACGAAAGUCUGACGGAGCAACGCCGCGUGAGUGAUGAAGGCUUUCGGGUCGUAAAACUCUGUUGUUAGGGAAGAACAAGUGCUAGUUGAAUAAGCUGGCACCUUGACGGUACCUAACCAGAAAGCCACGGCUAACUACGUGCCAGCCGCCGCAGUAA